CUCUUUCCCUCGAUUUGAUCUCACAAAUAUGCUUCAUUCUAAGGAUUUUAUGUUAUCUGAGACUAGCAUGCAAAAAUUUGGUUGUGUGACGAUGAAAAGGACGGAUUCUCGGUACAAUUCACCAUGCAAGUCAUCAUAUUUCAUUGGCUCAAAUGAUAACUUAGUGGGAGACAAGAUUGUAGCAGAGACAUUUUGUCAUCUGCAUCAUUCAAGAUAAUUGCUUUAUUCUACAGUAUGCUUCGAAUACAUUAUUUUUCAAAUUGUAAAAAAUAUAAUAUUAUUAUAGUGUUUUUUCAAAUGAUUUGCAUCAUAUUAGGUUAUGCUUGCGAACAGUUUUGCCUAUGCAUUUUCAUUUAUCUCGGUCUAGUUAAUUUUGUCAUUGUUUUUAUUACGUCAAACUGAAUCGAGAUAAAAUUAUGAUUGUUUGUGCAUAAUGGAGUAUGUAAUUAAAUAUUAAUAAUACAUAGCAAAUUGUUACACGUUACAGAAUUACAAUAAUUAUAAAAAUAACGUAUUGUAUUUAUUUUAUACGUGACAAUACAUACUUAUUGAAUACAGUAUCGACGCUACACAUAGCUUAAGUACCUAGCUAAAGCAAUACUUAUACAUUUAAAUGCGUUUGUCAUAUAAUUUUGUAAAUAUAUCUGUAAAUAUAAUAUUUAAACUAAUAUAUAAAGCAACUAGUAUUUAAGUUUAUCUAUGUGUAUAUAUAUAUAUAUAUAUAUAUAUAUAUAUAUAUUGAUUAUAUUAUAUAUAUUUUUUGAACCGCUUUAAUAUAUAUAUAUAUAUUAAAGCGGUUCAAAAAAACACGACUAUCCAAUUUUUUUUGCGGAUGCCUUUUGAAAGAUUCGAGAUGUUGAAUGAACGCUGCAGCCGCAAGGAAGACGUAUACGAUCAACUUUUGUAGGUCGUGAAAUGCGUUUAAAGGUCUUUUUUUUAGCGGCUUUAGUUUUUAUUUAAAAAAUGAUUUCUCCUCCAAAGAGUUCAUGAUUUCUUUGAUUAUUCAUGAAUACUCAAUUUCGAAAAAUAUAGAACUGUUCAAUAAAUUCAGUGAAUAGUUCUUUAGAAUAUGAGUUUCAUCAGCUACAUUGGAUCUGUUGGUUUUAUGAUGUUUAUAAAUAAAAAUACAUUUUCUGGUGUAAAGAAUACAUGAUAAACAUAAUAUUUUAUGAUUCUAUAGUUCUGAAGUUUUUUAUACAUAACAAUUGUUUUCCAAGAAAACUGCAUUAUUUAAUAAGCAUAGACACUCGACGAUAAGAGUGACUUUAGUGACUGAAGCCAGAAUUGAUGAAAUUUUAAGAGGAAGUAAACGUGUUUUUUAAGCACUGGUGAAAAUCUGGUAAAAUAUCCUAUUUCUUGAGGAAUUUUUCCACAAUUCCCCAUCAAAUCCGUCAAAAACGGAAGUCAUGAGAAUUUAUUGAAAA
rnacentral:lncRNA from 1 species